rnacentral:lncRNA from 1 species
AGAUAGAUAGAUACGCUCAAAGUCGCAGAAGUUCGCUAAGAAAUGCUUCGCAUUUAAAAAUGCAAUCCUCAAUAGCCUUAAUACCUUCUCUGCGAAUGCACCCGUUUCGACAUUCGAAGGGCAGCCCUCUCAGCCGCAUUGGGCCUGCUAGACAACCGGAAUCUCACAGAGGACAAAAUCCUAGGGCAGUGGCCUUUCCGGUCUUCAGCGCGAGCGGCUAUAAGGGCGUUGCUGCGGUUUACUCGGCAAACCAGACUGAACGAAAAGUUACGACUAAUCUCACCGAAUGCUUUUUAAAAGUGACUUUAUGGUGUCGUUACCGACUCUCUAAUUCUAUUUCAUUCUAUCGUACCCCCGUUCCCCUUCCCCUCUACAGGGUAGCCAACCGGAGUAUAUUCCUCGUUACCCUCCCUGUCUUUCCUCUCCUUUUCUCUCUUCUCUCUCUCUCCCCUAUGGCUGAUUGGAAUCUCUUUGACACGCUUUUCACGGGAACCGAGAAAUGAAACGUAUUAUGCAAAAAGUGUGUUAACCAAUGAGGCUAAUAAAAGGAGGAAAACAUGCAUGCUCCGUCAGCAACUCACUCUUAUUGAGCAGCUUUGAUGUAGAUGAUCAAUUUUUGCCUCACUUUCUUCUUCACAACGCCUAGGAGUAAGGUCUUCUGAAAAGUAAACACAGAAGCUCCAGUUUGAACACUCAGCCUUGCAUUCGCGACGAAGCUACGAGAGAACAGCGCGGCGCCUUCUUUGUCCUUUCGCAAAUACCCAAGGGAACAGUGGCACGACGAGGUAGUCAAAGUUCAAAUAAUGGAAGUCUAGUCGCCUGCAACGGUUACCGCUGCAGCAGCUUAACGCAGAAUUAAACAGACGGAGGCAAGGAGUUCCCAGCCCUCUUCCCAGAAAGCCUGAAGAUCCAGACAAGAGAGCACGACGCCUAGCGAAAGUACAGCGGAUACUUCAAGGAUAACUAUCAGGACUUUCUCCUGGAGUGGCGUGGUCAGCCCAAUCUUGACAAUAAAUGGCGUCUAAAUUCG